UACGUAGGCAGCGAGCGUUGUUCGGAGUUACUGGGCGUAAAGGGUGUGUAGGCGGUUGGUUAAGUUUGGUGUGAAAUCUCCCGGCUCAACUGGGAGGGUGCGCCGAAUACUGAGUGACUCGAGUGCGGGAGAGGAGAGUGGAAUUCCUGGUGUAGCGGUGAAAUGCGUAGAUAUCAGGAGGAACACCGGUGGUGUAGACGGCUCUCUGGACCGUAACUGACGCUGAGACACGAAAGCGUGGGUAGCAAACAGG
rnacentral:rRNA from 1 species